rnacentral:rRNA from 1 species
UACCUAAACAAAUUUAAAAAGUUAAGCUUUUAAAUAACUAUUAAAGAUAUUAUCCCCUUGUAGUGUAGUUUAAUAGCUAUCUACAUAAUAACUUAAUAUAAAGUAUAAUAGUUUAUAUUUUAUAAUAUGACGUUAACAAUUUUGUUUAAUAUUUGAAAAUGUUAGUAUUAGUAAUAUUAGUAUAUGUGCUAAAGGAACUCGGCAAAAAACCACUCAACUGUUUAUCAAAAACAUAGCUAUAUGAAUUAAUAUAUAGUUAUUUCUGCUCAAUGAUUUAAAUAGCCGCAGUACUCUGACUGUGCAAAGGUAACAUAAUCAGUUGGCUUUUAAUUAGAGUCUGGUAUGAACGAAAAUAUGGGUAGUAACUGUCUUAGCAUAUUUUUUCGAACUUAUUAAACAAGUGCAAAUGCUUGUAAUUUAACAAUAGACGAGAAGACCCUAGAAACUUGGACAAGUUUUUGUUGGGGCGACAGAAUUACACUUAACUAAUCUUAUAAUACACGACGCGAUGUUGAAAGAAUAAGUUACUCUAGGGAUAACAGCAUAAUUUCAUUAGUUUGUGACCUCGAUGUUGGACUAGGUACUAUACCCUUAAGGCAAGGAUAUAUUAUGCUCUGUUCGAGCAAAAUUACCUACAUGAUCUGAGU